GAAGAACGCUGGCGGCGAGCUUAACACAUGCAAGUCGAAAGGACAGGUCCUGCUUUUGUGGGAUGCUCGAGUGGCGAACGGGUGUGUAACAUGUGAGUAUCCUGCCCUUUACUUUGGGAUAACUUCAGGAAACCUGGUCUAAUACCGGAUCGGGUCUCCUGCUGCAUGGUGGGGGUUGGUUUGUUUCGGUGUUUGGGUAGUGUCUUGCGGCUUAUAAGUUUGUUGGUGGGGUAGUUGCUUACCAUGGUUUUGACGGGUAGCCGUCCUGGUAGGGUGACCGGCGACAUUGGGGCUGGUGGACUGCCCAGACUCCUACGGGAGGCAGCAGAGGGGAAUAUUGCAGAGCGGGUGGAAGCCUGAUUCAGCAACACCGCGAUCGGAAUGACGGCCUUCGGGUUGAAAACCACUUUGGCCUGUUACAAAGCGAGAGUGACGGUAAUGUGAAAAAAAGCACCGGCUAACUACGUG
rnacentral:rRNA from 1 species